AAAUUUGGGGGGGGUCAAAGGUUGGGAUGGACCCAAAGUUGACCUUUGGGCCACCAUGAGGUGACUCUGGGUGGCCAGGGGAGGUCAGGGGUCAUCAGGGGAGGGUCAGGGGUCAUCAAGGGAGGGUCAGGGGUCAUCAGGGGAGGGUCAGGGGUCAAGGGUUGGUCAAAGGUCAACCAGGAAAGGUCAAAAAUUUGGGGGGGGUCAAAGGUUGGGAUGGACCCAAAGUUGACCUUGGCCAACCAGGGUUGACCUUGGGCCACCACCAGGUGACUCUGGGUGGCCAGGGGAGGUCAGGGGUCGUCAAGGGAGGGUCAGGGGUCAUCAGGGGAGGGUCAGGGGUCAAGGGUUGGUCAAAGGUCAACCAGGAAGGGUCAAAAAUUGGGUGGGAAAAUUGGGGGGGUCAAAGAUUGGGAUGACCCAACGUUGACCUCGACCAACCAUGGUUGACCUUGGGCCACCACCAGGUGACUCUGGGUGGCCAGGGGAGGUCAGGGGUCAUCAGGGGAGGGUCAGGGGUCAAGGGUUGGUCAAAAU